rnacentral:lncRNA from 1 species
UGAAGACUUUUAUUACUUGGUGGAGAACGCAGGUCUUACUGCGUUCGUUGCAGAUAGGUGCUCACAAUACCUCCUCCUCACCAAUAUUUUUGUUCAAAGCUUCAACUUUUAUCCGAGGAAGAAUCCUCCCAUGGUUGAGUUCAUGUUAUACGAUGUUCCCCAGUGCAUGACACUACAUGAUUUUUGCAAUGUAUGCAAAUUACC